rnacentral:rRNA from 1 species
GACGAACGCUGGCGGCGUGCUUAACACAUGCAAGUCGAACGGAAAGGCCCUGCUUUUGUGGGGUGCUCGAGUGGCGAACGGGUGAGUAACACGUGAGUAACCUGCCCUUGACUUUGGGAUAACUUCAGGAAACUGGGGCUAAUACCGGAUAGGAGCUCCUGCUGCAUGGUGGGGGUUGGAAAGUUUCGGCGGUUGGGGAUGGACUCGCGGCUUAUCAGCUUGUUGGUGGGGUAGUGGCUUACCAAGGGUUUGACGGGUAGCCGGCCUGGGAGGGUGGCCGGGCCACAGGGGACUGGGGGACGGACCAGGAUCCUACGGGAGGCAACAGGGGGGAAUAUUGCAGAAUGGGGCGGAGCCUGAAGCGACAACCCCGGGGUCGGGAAGACCGGCUUUGGGGUGUGAACCGCUUUCGCCUUGUACAGAGCCGUAAUGACGGUAAUUGGUAAAAAAGCAACGGCUAACUACGUG